rnacentral:rRNA from 1 species
UACGUAGGGCGCAAGCGUUGUCCGGAAUUAUUGGGCGUAAAGAGCUCGUAGGCGGUUUGUCGCGUCUGCUGUGAAAGCCCGGGGCUCAACCCCGGGUCUGCCAGGUGGGUACGGGCAGGACUAGAGUGCAGGUAGGGGAGACUGGAAUUCCGUGGUGUAGGCGGUGAAAUGCGCAGAUAUCAGGAGGACACCGAUGGCGAAGGCAGGAU